GCCAGCGACAGAUCCAUCUCUGCCUCCACAAUCUUCCUCCCAAUCUCCUUGCAUCCGAGGUUCACCAGUUUGUCCUCCACCGUCAGCACCUUCGGCCGCUGAUCGGAGUUGCGGUGGAGGAGGGCGGAGAGGAGGAUCCGACUCUCGGAGUCCUGCCACAACCGGCCGGCGACGUAGAGGCAGGCGAGGCAUGAGAGGAAGCCCAUGAUGAGGGGGGCUUUGCUGGAGGUGGAAGGGGAGGAGCGCCA
rnacentral:misc_RNA from 1 species